rnacentral:rRNA from 1 species
AUUGAACGCUGGCGGCAUGCUUUACACAUGCAAGUCGAACGGUAACAGGGUGCUUGCACCGCUGACGAGUGGCGAACGGGUGAGUAAUGCGUCGGAACGUGCCGAGCAGUGGGGGAUAACGCAGCGAAAGUUGUGCUAAUACCGCAUACGUACUGAGGUAGAAAGUGGGGGACCUUCGGGCCUCACGCUAUUCGAGCGGCCGACGUCUGAUUAGCUAGUAGGUGGGGUAAAGGCUAACCUAGGCGACGAUCAGUAGCGGGUCUGAGAGGAUGAUCCGCCACACUGGGACUGAGACACGGCCCAGACUCCUACGGGAGGCAGCAGUGGGGAAUUUUGGACAAUGGGCGAAAGCCUGAUCCAGCCAUGCCGCGCGUCUGAAGAAGGCCUUCGGGUUGUAAAGGACUUUUGUCAGGGAGGAAAUCCCUAGUGCUAAUAACACUGGGGGAUGACGGUACCUGAAGAAUAAGCACCGGCUAACUACGUGCCAGCAGCCGCCGUAA